rnacentral:sRNA from 1 species
UUGCUGAUGCAUCGGUU